rnacentral:rRNA from 1 species
UACGUAGGGUGCAAGCGUUAAUCGGAAUUACUGGGCGUAAAGCGUGCGCAGGCGGUUGUGCAAGACAGAUGUGAAAUCCCCGGGCUUAACCUGGGAAUUGCAUUUGUGACUGCACGGCUAGAGUGUGUCAGAGGGGGGUAGAAUUCCACGUGUAGCAGUGAAAUGCGUAGAUAUGUGGAGGAAUACCGAUGGCGAAGGCAGCCCCCUGGGAUAACACUGACGCUCAUGCACGAAAGUGUGGGGAUCAAACAGG